rnacentral:rRNA from 1 species
AACGCUGGCGGCGUGGCUAAAACAUGCAAGUCGCACGGAAAGGCUCCGACCGAUCCUUCGGGUGAAGUUGGAGCGCUCGAGUGGCGAAAGGGCGAGGAAUACAUGGGUAACGUACCCCGAGCACAGGGAUAGCCGCGGGAAACUGCGGGUAAUACCUGAUAAGACCACGACACUCACGGGUGUUGUGCUCAAAGGGUGGCCUCUACUUGUAAGCUACCGGCCCGGGAGCGGCCCAUGUCCUAUCAGCUUGUUGGUGAGGUAACGGCUCACCAAGGCAACGACGGGUACCGGGACUGAGAGGUUGGUCCGGCGCAUUGGGACUGAGACACUGCCCAGGCUCCUACGGGAGGCUGCAGUAACGAAUAUUGGACAAUGGGCGAAAGCCUGAUCCAGCGACGCCGCGUGCAGGAUGAAGUCCUUCGGGAUGUAAACUGCUGUCAGGGAUUACCAAGCAAGGGAGGCGAAUAGUCUCCUGCGUUGAGGCGUCCCAGAGGAAGUCACGGCUAACUUCGUGCCAGCAGCCGCGGUAAGACGAAGGUGGCAAGCGUUGUUCGGAAUCACUGGGCUUAAAGAGCACGUAGGCGGGUUGUCAAGCGUCUUGUGAAAGCCCUCGGCUCAACCGAGGAAUGGCUGGGCGAACUGACAACCUUGAGGCAGGUAGGGGCAACUGGAACUCUUGGUGGAGCGGUGGAAUGCGUAGAUAUCAAGAGGAACGCCAGAGGCGAAGGCGAGUUGCUGGGCCUGUCCUGACGCUGAGGUGCGAAAGCCAGGGGAGCGAACGGGAUUAGAUACCCCGGUAGUCCUGGCCCUAAACGAUGUCCACUAGGUCGGAGGCACACUGACGUGGUUCUGGCCGAAAUGAAAACGAUAAGUGGACCGCCUGGGGAGUACGGUCGCAAGGCUAAAACUCAAAGGAAUUGACGGGGGCUCACACAAGCGGUGGAGCAUGUUGCUUAAUUCGAUGCAACGCGAAGAACCUUAUCCUGGGCUUGACAUAUUCGGAUGCCCCCUUGGAAACAAGGUCGGCUGCCCUUCGGGGUGAAACGUAUACAGGUGCUGCAUGGCUGUCGUCAGCUCGUGUCGUGAGAUGUUGGGUUAAGUCCCGUAACGAGCGAAACCCUUGUCGUUAGUUGCCAGCGAGUAAUGUCGGGGACUCUAACGAGACUGCCGGUGUCAAACCGGAGGAAGGUGGGGAUGACGUCAAGUCCUCAUGGCCUUUAUGCCCAGGGCUGCAAACGUGCUACAAUGACCGGUACAAACCGAAGCAAGACCGUGAGGUGGAGCAAAUCGGAAAAAGCCGGCCUCAGUUCGGAUUGGAGUCUGCAACUCGACUCCAUGAAGUCGGAAUCGCUAGUAAUCGCGUAUCAGCAUGACGCGGUGAAUGAGUUCCUGAGCAUUGUACACACCGCCCGUCA